UUCUGUGCUGUGGAAGGUUUGUUCUUUCACUCUGCACUAUUUUGCAAUAAAUAUUGCUAUUGCUCACUUUGGGUUUAUAUUGCCUUUAUGAGCUGUAACACUCACCAUGAAGGUCUGCAGCUUUACUCUUGAAGCUUAGCGAGACCACUAACCCACCAGAAGGAAGAAACUCCGGACACGCCGCCUUUAAGAACUGUAAUACUCAGUGCGAGGGUUCACGGCUUCAUUCUUGAGGGAGUGCAGAGGAGGAGUCCGUUUGGUGAGUGGAAUUUGUGACGUCCCGCAUUUGAGGUCCCUGGAACUCAGCGGCAAGGUCUGGACACGUGUCGUCGCGGGCACAGAAGGUGCGGCACGAAGACCAGCUCUUAUCCAGAGGCAGAGGAAGAGGACCAUCAAAUUGGAGCAAUUUUGAUGACACAUUCAUUAAAAUUUGUUGAAUUGUACACUUAAAGUGGUGAAUAUUAUGAUGUUUAA
rnacentral:lncRNA from 1 species